UAUGUUGGUUGGAUUGGUAGGUAGAUUGUCCUGAUUGAAUGCAAUCUGCUACAGGAAAAACCAAUGUAGUCAAGUCUAUGAUUGUUAUUUCCAGUCAAUGAAAUUGGUUAUUUCCCUCGACAAGUUUAUUGUGGGCAAAUCUUUUUAUUUUCUCUGUAAGCUAUUUGUUUAUAACAGAAUACCAUUCAGUUUUCUUACUAAAUGCUAGUUCAUUCACAAAUGUAUGGUCAAUCCAUCAAAGAAAUAAACAUGUGGUUAUGAAUCUUAACAUCAUCAGCUGAGACAAGAGCUCUCUCUGCAAAAUGUCGUCUCUCCACAUUUGGGUCCAGACCAUCAGGCAGGAAACUUCCAUUCUCCAUAUCGUGGAACAUGCGACUAACGUUGAUCUUGGUCGCAUCGUCAAACUGCAUACGAGCGUACUCGGACUGCGACAGACAGGUUGGCUGGGUAACUAACAACACUUAUAAUGUUGGAGGAUGAAGUCGACACUGUCUGGCAACUACCAUGUUCUCCUUCUCAACCCGUCUUCGUUUGGUAUCCGGACUUUCUGAGGGAGGCAUCACAGCUCCAGACAGCAGCUGCACGGGAACAUCGGUGUAUCGAUCUACAACGUUUGGAUCUAUCUUUAUGUCGUACUUUAGCAUGUUGGUGCCCACACUGCCGAUGAUUUCUUUCUGUUCUUUCUCAUCCUUAAAUGAAAACUUGGCCAAAUUUCUUUUAUUACAAAGUUUUUUAACAGUUUUUAAACUCUUCACGUUAGGCCUGGGUUGUUCACAAUCACUAUCAGAGGUAUCUGAGUCCUCAAAAUAUUUGGCUACAGGUUUUCUGUUUCGUACUCUCAAGUAAUAUGGGACUGGUAUUUCUUCUGAAUUUGAAUUCACCUUUUUGCCAUCAAUUUUACAUUCUCCUUCUGAAUUAAUAUUCAAAGUUAAACCAAAACAUUUCCUCUUUUGAAGUGCAGCGGAAGGUUUGUUCUCAAUAUUGGUGUUCAGAUCAUUGAGUUCUCUGUCACGACUUGAAUGACUUUGAUCCAUAUUUAGUGUAAAUCGUGGUUUUCUCUUAAAUAAUUGUUAAUGUCUGCCUUUAAAAUAAAUUAUCACUCAAUUACUUUUUACACCAAAAGUUCUUUAAUCACGGAAUUGGAUUCAAUAUAAACCUGAAACAGAACCAAAAGCUAAUAAUCAGACUAGAAGUGUAGAAUAGUAAUUUCACCAUACAAAUCUGACAGCAACAAAUCUGCUAGAUUAACAUACAAAAAUAAACUUAACACUAAUAAUAGAUUUUUAGACACCAGCUUUCCCAAAGUUCAAAGGAGCCAAAUUCAAAUCAACAUAUAUUUUGUUCUUAGAGAAUUUCAAACAAAGUAUUAAAAAAGUUUCAAAACAACCAAGA